rnacentral:lncRNA from 1 species
UCUCUCUCUCUGUUUGUGUGUGUGUGUGUAUCUGUCUGUCUGUCUAGCUUAUUACUUAAUAUAGUCUCCUCAAGAAUUCUAUUGUUAUAAUCACUACAUUGUCAUGUUUUAUUGUGGUUUUCUUGCUCUGACCAUUUCAAUGUCUAUGUAUAAUGAAUUUUAGUCCUCCAUUCUCUAGGUUCAUGUCCCACUGUCUUUUCCCAACUAAACUGACAUACAAACAAGUCCCAUUUCUAUGUUUCUCUCUUUUAUCGUUUGUGUGAUCCUCUGGGGCUGGAUGAUUACUUGCAUGGACGUGGGUGGGAGUUAUUUACACCAGGUCCCCCUUAUUGCACACAAAAAGAUAAAGCUGUAUUAGGGUUUCUGUUGCUGUUACACAAACACCAUCACCAAAAGCAACAAGGGGAGGAAAGGGUUGAUUUCAGCUUUCAGUUCAGCAUCAUAGCCAACCAUCCAGAGAAAUCAAGACAGGAAUUCAGAGCAGAAACAUGGAUGCAGGAUUUGAAAGAGUGGCCACAAAGGAGGGUAUAUAGGAAAAUAAAAUAAAUAGAGGAAAGAAAAAAGGAGGUGAAGAAGGUCUGUAUCUCUUCCUUGUUCCUGCACAUCCACUUUACCAUAUCAGUUCUACUUUAGGUAAUACUCUACACUGAUUAUUAGCCAUAGUGUAGUUUUGCUAUGAACUAUCAAGUUCAAUUCUGCAUGGAAUUUUCUUGUGGAACUAUUUAGCUGUGCUCUUAGACUAUCUUUACAAUGAAAUAGCUUAAUUUUGGAAAUGUAGGAGUUGUUCAACAUACCCAACUCAAUGAAUAUAAUAAAUCACAUAACUGGACUUAAGGUAACAAAUGAAAUGAUUAUCUCAAUAUAUGCAGAAAAGCCUCUGACAAAUUCUAGUCUGACUUAAUGUUGAAAACCUUGUAGGGCUGCUGGAUUGUAUCAGCUGUUAUUUGGCUGGUAGCAGGGUCUGCCUAUGUGAUAGCCAAAGCACCAUUCUGAGUUUGGCUUGGGUUCCUCAGUUCUGUUGUCUUUUGGGGGUGCUUCAGGUAGCACUGGAAGCAAUCACUGGUAGAGUCUUCUAUAAGAGCCUUAACAGCAUAGCUUUGUACGGUAACUGUCCCAGUAAACUGGGAUGACUCUUGUUGUUGUUGUUGUUGUUUUAGGUUGUUUUGUUUUUGUUUUUGUUUAUUUAUUUGGAAUAAUACUUUCUAUUAGCAGAAGUUAGUUGAAAUUACGCUGGCUUGGAAAUGAGACCUUAAUGCAGGUGCCAGUCACUUCUUUAUUUCACUUGUUUGUUUGUUUGUUUUAAGGUGUUUAUUGUAAAAAGGCAGAGAGAGG